rnacentral:rRNA from 1 species
AUUGAACGCUAGCGGGAUGCCUUACACAUGCAAGUCGAACGGAGUGGCGAACGGGCGAGUAAUGUAUCCGUACGUGCCCAGUAGCGGGGGAUAACUACGCGAAAGCGUAGCUAAUACCGCAUACUAUUGGAGCGGCCGUUAUCGGAUUGGCUAGUUGGUGGGGUAACGGCUCACCAAGGGGACGAUCCGUAGCAGGUUGGAGAGGACGACCAGCCAACCUGGGACUGAGACACGGCCCAGAUUCCUACGGGAGGCAGCGGUGGGGAAUUUUGGACAUUGGGGGAAACCCUGAUCCGGCCAUCCCGCGUGUGCGAUGAGGGCCUUCGGUUUGUAAAGCACUUUUGGCAGGAAAGCGGUACCUGCAGAAUAAGCACCGGCUAACUACGUGCCAGCAGCCGCGGUAAUAC